AAGAGAUACGUGGUGAUCGUAGAACCGGGAGAGGUGAGGGGUACUUCGGGGGUAGGAGUGAAAUCCUGUAAUCCUCGAGGGACCACCUGUGGCGAAGGCGCCUCACCAGAACGGCUUCGACAGUGAGGGACGAAAGCUGGGGGAGCAAACCGGAUUAGAUACCCGGGUAGUCCCAGCCGUAAACGAUGUGCGUUAGGUGUAUCGGUGACCACGAGUCACCGAGGUGCCGAAGGGAAACCGUGAAACGUACCGCCUGGGAAGUACGGUCGCAAGGCUGAAACUUAAAGGAAUUGGCGGGGGAGCACCACAACAGGUGGAGCCUGCGGUUUUUAAAUUGGACUCAACGCCGGAAAUCUCACCGGAUAAGACAGCAGAAUGAUUGCCGGGCUGAAGACUCUGCAUGGCUAGCUGAGGAGUGGUGCAUGG
rnacentral:rRNA from 1 species